CAAUAAAGCUGGUGAGACUAUUUAUGAACAGAAAAAGGAGGCCAACAGAUUUUGACCCUCACAUAGCUUUUGUGCAAGGGAAGAUCCAGCUUUUGGAAUCAAAGAAACUCACAGUCCAGGGUGGCACCUGAUUUUUGCAGCUCGGGAUGUCAACCUGCCUAUUCCAG